rnacentral:rRNA from 1 species
GCCGCCUUCGCCACGCCCGCUCAAGAAACUACGAAAGUAAGUUGGACGGGGGCCCGCACAAGCGGUGGAGCAUGUAGGUUUUAAUUCGAUGAUACGCGAGGAACCCUUUACCGUGGGCUACAAUGUAUGUUGACGUUAUUCUAGAAAGGAUACUUUCUUCGGACAAUAUACAAGGUGCUGCAUGGUUGUCGUCAGCUCGUGCCGUGAGGUGUCGGGUUAAGUCCCGCAACGAGCGCCAACCCCUAUCUUUAGUUGCCAUCAGUUCGGCUGGGCACUCUAUGGAGACUGCCACCUAAAGUGGAGGAAGGUGGGGAUGACGUCAAGUCAGCAUGGCCCUUACGUCCGGGGCUACACACGUGCUACAAUGGCCGGUACAAAGGGUUGCGAAGCCGUGAGGUGGAGCGAAUCUCAAAAAGCCGGCCUCAGUUCGGAUUGGAGGCUGCAACUCGCCUCCAUGAAGUCGGAAUCGCUAGUAACCGCAGAUCAGCUACGUUGCGGUGAAUACGUUCCCGGGCCUU